rnacentral:rRNA from 1 species
AUGGACCGUCAUUACAGAAGCCUAACAGGGAAGUGGUGCCCUGGCAUCGACCCCUACUUCUCGUUCCUGCCCAAACACAGACUCUGUGACAUUCACAUUGACAUGUUGGACUGCUGCAAUGGCCUCUUUCUCUGCCGACGACAGAAUACCGAUUAUUGGAGGACAACGGAUUACGUGGUGUGCAAUCCGGCCACUGAGGAAUGGGUUGCCGUGCCUGGCACCGACAGGUCCAGCGAGGUGCGGGUCGCUCGCCUGGGGUUCGACCCGGCCGUCUCCUCCCACUUCCAUGUACUUGAGUUUGCACCGGCGGAUGAUGAUACACACGUCAGACCAUUGGGGAUCUACUCUUCCCAAGCUAGAGUCUGGACACAUCGGAGCGAUUGGGAGUGUCCAAUCGAUAUAGACAGGUAUUCAUGUAGCACAUUUUUCAGAGGUGUGCUGUAUUUAUCUUCCUAUGAAGAUAAGGUUGUAGCUGUCGAAAUGGAGGGAAAUUGCAGGGUCAUUCGUAUUCCUACGUCACAUGAUUCUUGUGUUGCUCGUGAAGUUUAUGUGUCACAGGGACAAUUGUAUUUUGUAAUUUCCAGUGAGUCUGAACUGUCAAUGUGGGCUCUUGAAGAUUCUACUAGUACUGAAAAUUGGACCUUGAAGCACAAUGUCAGCAGGCUGCAAUUGUUUGGAGCAGGGGAUCCAUCUUAUGAUCUGUACUACGAUGUUAUCAUCCACCCAGAAUACAAGGUUAUAUUCAUACUAUUUACAAGAAGAAUCUCGACAUGCAUAUCAUUUACGAAAGUAAUGUCAUACGACAUGGAUUCUAGGGAGCUGCAUUCUGUAGGCGAUCUUGGAUAUGACUGCAAGAGUCCUUAUCUUUCAUAUGUUCCUUUGUUCUCACAUUCAUUCAUUCGCUGA